rnacentral:lncRNA from 1 species
AUAUGAACAUGGUUUAAAGAAACGGACGAGGCGUGCAUCUCGAGGCGAGGCGGUAAGAAAGCAUGUAUGUGGCGGUGCCACAUGGGGUUUACGUACGCCUCUAAUGGCUGAAGCGGUAAGAGAGUUAUUUGAGGCAUGGUGAACUGGAAGGAUUUAUAGUGGAACUAUGGAAGGAUCUAUAGUGAAUAUAUUACAGCAUGGUAAUUUUGUGAGUCAACACAGAGUCCAAUCAACAAUCACAAAAAGGAAUAAUGAUGCACAAACUAUAGAAUAAAAAAUCUCAAAAUGGAACGGAACUUUCAAAAACAGAGGUGCAAACUCAGACCAACCAACAAGUCACACGAAGGAGAACAUUGGCGUGUCUAUGGACUCGAAGCAACUUCUUACACAUUCCGUUGGAUACAAAUCAUGGAGUAAACUCUUAAUAAAAUAUCUCCGUUUACAUUCCAGUGGAAUUCAUUCCUUCAAUAUUUUGUCUACUCCAUCUCUAUGGUAGCCGCUGCCAGAUCAUUGGAUGAAGUUAUUACAUGAUGGAGAACAGAUGGUGCUUCUUGGAUUUGAACAUGGUGUAAUAUUCAACUUUAUAUGACAUUUUCUCGCUGUUUGAUUUUUUU